rnacentral:snRNA from 1 species
UUAAAAGAUAACGCAGGU